AGUGGUGUGCUUGAUAAAAAAGGUUGCUUUGAUGUGGCAAAAAUGAGGGGGAGCCCCUCCAUUACUA
rnacentral:tRNA from 1 species